rnacentral:rRNA from 1 species
GAUGAACGCUGGCGGCGUGCCUAAUACAUGCAAGUCGAGCGAACGGACGAGAAGCUUGCUUCUCUGAUGUUAGCGGCGGACGGGUGAGUAAGACGUGGAUAACCUACCUCUAAGACUGGGAUAACUUCGGGAAACCGGAGCUAAUACCGGCUAAUAUUUUGAACCGCAUGGUUCAAAAGUGAAAGACGGUCUUGCUGUCACUUAUAGAUGGAUCCGCGCUGCAUUAGCUAGUUGGUAAGGUAACGGCUUACCAAGGCAACGAUGCAUAGCCGACCUGAGAGGGUGAUCGGCCACACUGGAACUGAGACACGGUCCAGACUCCUACGGGAGGCAGCAGUAGGGAAUAUUCCGCAAAGGGCGAAAGCCUGACGGAGCAACGCCGCGUGAGUGAUGAAGGUCUUCGGAUCGUAAAACUCUGUUAUUAGGGAAGAACAUAUGUGUAAGUAACUGUGCACAUCUUGACGGUACCUAAUCAGAAAGCCACGGCUAACUACGUG